rnacentral:sRNA from 1 species
GGAUUCGAUAAACAAGUGGAUGUGUCAUAUAUUGCCAAACAUUACAACAUGAGCAAAAGCAAAGUUGACAACCAGUUCUACAGUGUGGAAGUGGGAGACUCAACCUUCACAGUUCUCAAGCGCUACCAGAAUCUAAAGCCUAUUGGCUCUGGGGCUCAGGGCAUAGUUUGUGCCGCGUAUGAUGCUGUCCUUGACAGAAAUGUGGCCAUUAAGAAGCUCAGCAGACCCUUUCAGAACCAAACACAUGCCAAGAGAGCGUACCGGGAGCUGGUCCUCAUGAAGUGUGUGAACCAUAAAAACAUUAUUAGUUUAUUAAAUGUCUUCACACCCCAGAAAACGCUGGAGGAGUUCCAAGAUGUUUACUUAGUAAUGGAACUGAUGGAUGCCAACUUAUGUCAAGUGAUUCAGAUGGAAUUAGACCACGAGCGAAUGUCUUACCUGCUGUACCAAAUGUUGUGUGGCAUUAAGCACCUCCAUUCUGCUGGAAUUAUUCACAGGGAUUUAAAACCAAGUAACAUUGUAGUCAAGUCUGAUUGCACAUUGAAAAUCCUGGACUUUGGACUGGCCAGGACAGCAGGCACAAGCUUCAUGAUGACUCCAUAUGUGGUGACACGUUAUUACAGAGCCCCUGAGGUCAUCCUGGGGAUGGGCUACAAGGAGAACGUGGAUAUAUGGUCUGUGGGAUGCAUUAUGGGAGAAAUGGUUCGCCACAAAAUCCUCUUUCCAGGAAGGGACUAUAUUGACCAGUGGAAUAAGGUAAUUGAACAACUAGGAACACCAUGUCCAGAAUUCAUGAAGAAAUUGCAACCCACAGUAAGAAACUAUGUGGAGAAUCGGCCCAAGUAUGCAGGACUCACCUUCCCCAAGCUCUUCCCAGAUUCCCUCUUCCCAGCGGACUCCGAGCACAAUAAACUCAAAGCCAGCCAAGCCAGGGACUUGUUGUCAAAGAUGCUAGUGAUUGACCCAGCAAAAAGAAUAUCAGUGGACGAUGCCUUACAGCAUCCCUACAUCAACGUCUGGUAUGACCCAGCCGAAGUGGAGGCGCCUCCACCUCAGAUAUAUGACAAGCAGUUGGAUGAAAGAGAACACACAAUCGAUGAAUGGAAAGAACUUAUCUACAAGGAAGUAAUGAACUCAGAAGAAAAGACUAAAAAUGGCGUAGUAAAAGGACAGCCUUCUCCUUCAGGUGCAGCAGUGAACAGCAGUGAGAGUCUCCCUCCAUCCUCGUCUGUCAAUGACAUCUCCUCCAUGUCCACCGACCAGACCCUGGCAUCUGACACUGACAGCAGCCUGGAAGCCUCGGCAGGACCCCUGGGUUGUUGCAGGUGACUAGCCGCCUGCCUGCGAAACCCAGCGUUCUUCAGGAGAUGAUGUGAUGGAACACACACACACACGCAGACACUCACGCACACACACAAUUGCAGACACACAACAUCAAGAAAACAGCAAGGGAGAGAAUCCAAGCCUAAAAUUAAAUAAAUCUUUCAGCCUGCUUCUUCCCCAGGGUUCUGUAUUGCAGCUAAGCUCAAAUGUAUAUUUAACUUCUAGUUGCUCUUGCUUUGGUCUUCUUCCAAUGACGCUUACUACAGAAAGCAAAUCAGACACAAUUAGAGAAGCCUUUUCCAUAAAGUGUAAUUUUAAUGGCUGCAAAACCGGCAACCUGUAACUGCCCUUUUAAAUGGCAUGACAAGGUGUGCAGUGGCCCCAUCCAGCAUGUGUGUGUCUCUAUCUUGCAUCUACCUGCUCCUUGGCCUAGUCAGAUGGAUGUAGAUACAGAUCCGCAUGUGUCUGUAUUCAUACAGCACUACUUACUUAGAGAUGCUACUGUCAGUGUCCUCAGGGCUCUACCAAGACAUCAUGCACUGGGGUACCACAUGGUCCAUUUCAUGUGAUCUAUUACUCUGACAUAAACCCAUC